AGAGUUUGAUCCUGGCUCAGAACGUACGCUGGCGGCACGCCUAACACAUGCAAGUCGAACGAAGUAGCAAUACUUAGUGGCAGACGGGUGAGUAACAUGUGGGUAUCUACCCUUUGGCCUGGAAUAACACGAGGAAACUUGUGCUAAUACCGGAUAAGUCUUUACGGAGAAAGCUUUAUGCACCAUUGGAUGAGCCCGCACUUGAUUAGUUUGUUGGUAGGGUAAUGGCCUACCAAGACUAUGAUCAAUAGCUGAUUUGAGAGGAUGAUCAGCCACAUUGGGACUGAGACACGGCCCAAACUCCUACGGGAGGCAGCAGUGGGGAAUCUUGCACAAUGGAGGAAACUCUGAUGCAGCGAUGCCGCGUGAGUGAAGAAGGCCUUUGGGUUGUAAAGCUCUUUCGUCGGGGAAGAAAAUGACUGUACCCGAAUAAGAAGGUCCGGCUAACUUCGUGCCAGCAGCCGCGGUAAUACGAAGGGACCUAGCGUAGUUCGGAAUUACUGGGCUUAAAGAGUUCGUAGGUGGUUAAAAUAGUUGAUGGUGAAAUCCCAAGGCUCAACCUUGGAACUGCCAUCAAAACUUUUUAGCUAGAGUAUGAUAGAGGAAAGUGGAAUUUCUAGUGUAGAGGUGAAAUUCGUAGAUAUUAGAAAGAACAUCAAAAGCGAAGGCAACUUUCUGGAUCAUUACUGACACUGAGGAACGAAAGCAUGGGUAGCGAAGAGGAUUAGAUACCCUCGUAGUCCAUGCCGUAAACGAUGUGUGCUAGACGUUGGAAACUUAG
rnacentral:rRNA from 1 species